rnacentral:rRNA from 1 species
UACGUAGGGGGCAAGCGUUGUCCGGAUUUAUUGGGCGUAAAGAGCGUGUAGGCGGCCAAACAGGUCAGCUGUGAAAACUCGAGGCUCAACCUCGAGACGUCGGUUGAAACCGUAUGGCUAGAGUCCGGAAGAGGAGAGUGGAAUUCCCGGUGUAGCGGUGAAAUGCGCAGAUAUCGGGAAGAACACCUAUGGCGAAGGCAGCUCUCUGGGACGGUACUGACGCUGAGACGCGAAAGCGUGGGGAGCAAACAGG